rnacentral:rRNA from 1 species
AACGCUGGCGGCGUGCCUAAUACAUGCAAGUCGAACGGCUUUUCUAUGGAAGCUUGCUUCCGCUGAGAAGAUAGUGGCGAACGGGUGAGUAACACGUGGGUAACCUGCCCAUAAGAGGGGGAUAACAUCCGGAAACGGGUGCUAAUACCGCAUAGUUUUCUUGAUCGCAUGAUCGGGAAAGGAAAGACGGCCUUUGUGCUGUCGCUUAUGGAUGGACCCGCGGCGUAUUAGUUAGUUGGUGAGGUAACGGCUCACCAAGACGAUGAUACGUAGCCGACCUGAGAGGGUGAUCGGCCACAUUGGGACUGAGACACGGCCCAAACUCCUACGGGAGGCAGCAGUAGGGAAUCUUCCGCAAUGGACGAAAGUCUGACGGAGCAACGCCGCGUGAGUGAAGAAGGUUUUUCCGGAUCGUAAAACUCUGUUGUCAGAGAAGAACAAGUUGGAGAGUAACUGCUCCAGCCUUGACGGUAUCUGACCAGAAAGCCACGGCUAACUACGUGCCAGCCGCAGC